GCCGGUGUGGCCCAGUGGUGAGCGUCUAGCUGUGAACCAGGAGGUCAGGGUUCGAUUCCCGGUCAAGGGCA
rnacentral:tRNA from 1 species